AGGACGAACGCUGGCGGCGUGCCCUAAUACAUGCAAGUCGAACGGUCUUUUCUAUGGAAGCUUGCUUCCACUGAGAAGAUAGUGGCGAACGGGUGAGUAACACGUGGGUAACCUGCCCAUAAGAGGGGGAUAAACAUCCGGAAACGGGUGCUAAUACCGCAUAGUUUUCUUGAUCGCAUGAUCGGGAAAGGAAAGACGGCCUUUGUGCUGUCGCUUAUGGAUGGACCCGCGGCGUAUUAGUUAGUUGGUGAGGUAACGGCUCACCAAGACGAUGAUACGUAGCCGACCUGAGAGGGUGAUCGGCCACAUUGGGACUGAGACACGGCCCAGACUCCUACGGGAGGCAGCAGUGGGGAAUAUUGCACAAUGGGGGAAACCCUGAUGCAGCAACGCCGCGUGAGUGAUGACGGCCUUCGGGUUGUAAAGCUCUGUCUUCAGGGACGAUAAUGACGGUACCUGAGGAGGAAGCCACGGCUAACUACGUGCCAGCCGCCGC
rnacentral:rRNA from 1 species